GCCUGGGUGGCUCAGUCGGUUAAGCAUCUGACUUUGGCUCAGGUCAUGAUCUCACGGUUUGUGAGUUCAAGUCCCGCGUCGGGCU
rnacentral:tRNA from 1 species